AAAAAUGAUUCAGAGCAGGAGAAGACUGAGGUCACUCCUCGGCCAGACGUGAUGACUUAAGACAAAAAUAUUUUAACUCCCUGUGAGUUGGGUUGCUUUCGUUUUGAAGUAGUUCCUCUGGCAAGCAGAAAGCAGCAAUUCGUUUGGUAUAAAAGAGAAGAAUUUGAUUUCUAACCUUAACAGACCUCUCUCUACAAGAGACAGGUACUCAGAACAAAUGCACAUCACAGCUGAUUCAGCUGGACCUGGAACAGUAAUAAAGGCAAUCCUCUCAAAAAAAGCUCAGCUUCUGGAGGCUUAGGUUCACAGGUGGCCUUCAAAAGAGUUGUACCAACUAAACUGAACACAAAAGGGGAGAAGUGUAUCACAGAAGGGACCUUUUGGAGGACACCAGUAAGCACUAGGUGAAGACACCACAAAGACUGCUACAGCCAUUUCAGCACUGCUCAUGGAUGGGAAUGACCAACUCUAGGGGCAGUUACAUGCUGCUUCUUUUUCAGCAGCAAAGCAAGCUUGAAAAAUUGCCAGCUUUACUUACCUUCAGCUACUCAUUAUUGUCUCAUGCCACGUUUUUGCAGAAGGUUAUUUUUAGCCUGGAUUAUUUCAGUAAACUAUUUUGGGCUGGCAUUGGGCUGACAUUGAAGGGGCUGAGAAGCACAGCACAGGGAAGGGAGCUAAUAUCUACCUUUGUAAUUAACUCCACAACCAGUACCAGAACUACCUGUAGUUAUUGAUCUGGAAGGUUACUGCUACAAGUCAUCCAAAUUCUCUGACACUGUCUGAAAAAUACCAGCAAUAAUGAAAUCAAAAUAGUAUUAUUCAGGACACCAAAAAGAUACCAUAUGGAGCAAUAUGCAUUUCAAAACAGUAUAGGACUGUCUAAUUGCAGUUUCAGUAAAUCCGCUAUGUUCACACAGGAAAAUGACAUCUCAAAAUAGAAUCUUUGAUAGCAGCAUCAACAGGCACAUCAGGAAUCAAUUUCAACUUUCAGGGCUCUCUAAAUGCUGGACAUCUUCCUCCCAUGAUCCCUAUUCAAGUGUGAUCCCUAUUCAAGUGUUUCCACUUGCUUAUGUUAACUUCUCUGUUCACUGAACCCUGCACUGAGCCAUUCCAGCAUGCUAACCCUUCAGAAAAUUAACCACUUGUUUUGUUGCAUGCACUGUCUUCUGCAUUCAUGCAUACAAUGGCUCAUGGAAGACUAGAAAAGCACUGAAGCCAAUGCAAAGGGGAGAAGAUGAGAUUAUCCAGGGAUUUUUUUUUUCCCUGGAUAAAGGGAACACAGAAACUACAGAAAGUCUGGCUACCUGUGAACACACCCAGGUGAGUUUGAACACACUGCUGAAAGGAAAUGACACCAUAGGAAAAGAAUGCAGGAGGCACCCAGGAGCUCUCAAACCUCCCAAGCCCUUCAUCUUAGCCUGAGACCAGCUCUACAAAAGGCUCACCAGUCAUGGGGAUGACAACACCCCAUGUGUGUUUGCAGCAAAUGGCAGACUGAAAAAUCCUCUCUAGUAGAAGACAUCAAUUCCAAAUACCUGUGAGAGCUCCACUUAACCUGAUGACCAAAGACUGUACCUAAGACUGCACACAAGCCAAAAGUGUGAUCCAUCAUCACACUGCAGAAAAAGCAUUCAUGAUGCAUAUACUCAACUGGGCAGACUGGAUUAUCCCAAGAGCACUACUGAGAAUUUCAAAUCCACAAGCAAGGAGUCAGUAAGGAUAAAAUGGGUGCCGGAAACUUCAAUAUUAACAUCCAGCUUAUAUCCAAGUUACUACAUUGAUCUCCUGAAGCAUGUUUUGAACUAGUAUUGCAAGAGGAAGAUAUUUAACAAAGCAGAAAUAGACCAAGGCUCACUGGCAGAGCAAAGAACCCAGCACUGAAACAGCAGAAGGUUUUGCACAUGUAAACUCUGAUAUGCUGGAAAAACUGGCCUUGUGAACACCAAAUUCAUUGUACAAAAUGCUUUGUACUAGCCACUUGUCACUGACACACUGCCUAUCUUGCUUUUGUUAAAUCAAUCUAAGUAAACUUGAGAAAGUACAUCAAAUAAAAGACUGCUCAGCAGGGUGUGACACCUCAAAAAUAAUUUCUAAAACUUUCCUGCAAUUAUUACAAUUACAGCUUCUUUUACUGUGUGCCUCUUGAAAAGCCCAGUGUAAAGACUGAUAAAGAAAAAGCAUACAGCACUGGCUGAUAAUAAAUUUGGCCAACAUCGGUCUAUUUAUAGCUUAAUUUUGCAUGACGCAGGAAGUUUGGCAUAGGACUAGAUGAUCUCAAGCAGUCCUUUACAGCCUAAAUAAUUCUGUGUAAAGAGCUUGAAAAUGAAUGUUUAAUGUGAAGUCCUCUGCUGGUAUGUAGGAACAUUCCAUCCAGUGCCCAGCAAACAAUCUAGGAAAGGGACACAAAACUCGAAAUAUGUUUGUUCUGGGUUUUAAAAAGAAGCCAAACCCCUGAGAAAUUAAAUGCUGCUGCUUUGCAUCAUCUAAAUUCCAGAUUUCAAACGGCAUACAGAAGGCAGAACUGAUGCUCAGGAAGUCAAACAAAUACAGAUGCAUACCAAAAUCUGACCUGUAAAGUAGUGACAGCUCUUGGCUUUAUUGACUGAUGUUUCUUCAUGACCCUCAGAACCACAAAGACAGGAUAACCCAGGGCACUGACCACCUAAUCAGUGAUCUUGCUUCUAGCAAUGACCAAUAUCUGAACUUUCACAGGUAGGACAGAAAGUUCAGAGUAACCUCUUACACAGCGUUGUAUGCAUAGACAUUGAGUUUGGCACUCUAAUGCUCAGUACUCUGCAACCUGUUGGGUGAUGAGAGUUGUCACGCGGUUACCUUCACUCCUGUUUUAGGGCCCACGGUCAAAUGAAGAAUUAGGCCAUCUGCUCCCAUUUCCUCUCUUCCCCAACUAGCAUGACACAAUAUCCUCAUUUAAACCAGUUUGCUACAGGUAGCCAGUGUAAACCAGUCAUUUUGAGCAGCAGUUGCCUCUAUUAAUUCCUUAUUUAAAAGAUCUUGCACAGUUUUGGUAAAAACCUUUCAGAAGAUACUGGUACACGUCUUAGGCACUGUCCUCUCUGCUUGAUAUUUGAGGCACAAUUCCCUUCUAUCACCAAUAUUUCUAUCUCUGUUCCCAGAACUACCCAAUAUUCUUCAGAUAAAAUCUCACUAGAUAUUUAAGCCAGAUAAAAGAACAGUAGUUCGUGCAUCCUAAAUUCAGAAAACAUUAUUUGGAAAACUUAUGGUGUUGGUAGUCCAAAGCAAUCUCCUAUCGGUUACUCAGUUUUAUGAGGCACUGAAGCAGUGCUUCUGCCUGUAGUCACGUUCACAACUGACAUUAAUAAUAUGCUGACUGCUAGUAAGCAAAACACAAAUAGCCCUUGGAAUGGGGAAAAAUGACACAUCUACUCAGAACUAUUGUGCUCAGAAGUUAAUUCACGUGACAAAACAAGUAUGCAUUUCAGUCUUGCUUAGCCUGUCACAAGUUUGCAAGAGUAAACCUACAUAUGACAAAAGAUGAGAGUCUUUUAUUAAAACUGCCAGAGGUGUGCAAAUCCAGGCUUCAGACAGGGCACACUGACCUCUAUCUGACUUAACAUAAAUUACAGAGAAACAUUCUAGUGAUAAACAUCACAGACUUUACAGGAGUAUGUGGAUGGCAGCUGCAUGAGUCAGAAAAUCUCAUAUAGAACAGGGUGGGGUAUUCUCUUUAUUUGCAGUGUGCUUUACUGCAGGCCCCUAACACCACAUGUGCGUGCACACACACACACACGCACGCUCAGGGAUGCUGGGGCAAAAUACAGGCAGCACUGCCAGCAAGACUGUCGGCUUCCUUCAUGCCUUGGAUUAUGGAUCUGCUUGAUAGUUGCUGACUUCUAUUUAGCAGUGUAUACUGUGUUGUUAGAAGAGGACAUAUAGUGCCCGAUCUGAAGACCAAGUGAGAUGAUUUGGAUAUUAUUUUCUGGGAAGCAGUAGAAACAUUCUAUUAUGUCGUGCUUUUAGCAUAUACACUGAAUGAUUUGGACAACUACUGAAGCUAUAGUUUCUUUGAGAUUUUUAUUUUUAUUUUAGAAUUACAUACGGAAUCUUGUGAGCUGAAAUAUCCCCAAAAUCCUUAGUUAAAAAUAACAUUCAGAGCUGUACUUAAAACACUGAUGUAUACAAGAGGACUUGUUUAACUUUAAAAGAAAAUCUAAAUCCUUUUGAUACAAAGAAAGCUUUCUAUAUAUACAUAUAUAUUUUGUAUUUCAUAUGAAGUUCUUCCACAACUAGCUAGAGACUAAGAACAUUAACAGGGUGACAUGUAAAUUCUCACUUCAGUUACAGAUGCUAACUUUGAUGCUUCACUACCUAGAAGAUACAGUAUUAACAACCAUUUUAGCAAAAGUUGCCAACUGUUCGGCAAUUUGGAACUAUCAUCAGCGGAAAUGAAACAUGGUACCAUUUCUCUUCUGUACAUAUCAUUGCACUGUCAUGACCAUCUUUACAAAACCAGCUUUGGUUUUUGACCCAUGUCAGAUUGAAAGUACCUUUUAGCUCCAACCCAGCCUGAAAACCACUGCUUGCUCUUUCUUAAGGUGCUGAUAUGCCAAAGUAGAUAUUCCUGUUGCAAGAUAUGAUUUAUCUCUACAAAAUGCACUGUAGAAUUUUUGUGACUAGAAAUAAUUUCAGUCAACCAGUCUUUUUCCUAAGUUACUACAGGUUAUAUAUAU